GACGAACGCUGGCGGCGUGCCUAAUACAUGCAAGUUGAGCGCUGAAGGUUGGUACUUGUACCAACUGGAUGAGCAGCGAACGGGUGAGUAACGCGUGGGGAAUCUGCCUUUGAGCGGGGGACAACAUUUGGAAACGAAUGCUAAUACCGCAUAAAAACUUUAAACACAAGUUUUAAGUUUGAAAGAUGCAAUUGCAUCACUCAAAGAUGAUCCCGCGUUGUAUUAGCUAGUUGGUGAGGUAAAGGCUCACCAAGGCGAUGAUACAUAGCCGACCUGAGAGGGUGAUCGGCCACAUUGGGACUGAGACACGGCCCAAACUCCUACGGGAGGCAGCAGUAGGGAAUCUUCGGCAAUGGACGAAAGUCUGACCGAGAAACGCCGCGUGAGUGAAGAAGGUUUUCGGAUCGUAAAACUCUGUUGGUAGAGAAGAACGUUGGUGAGAGUGGAAAGCUCAUCAAGUGACGGUAACUACCCAGAAAGGGACGGCUAACUACGUG
rnacentral:rRNA from 1 species